rnacentral:rRNA from 1 species
UACGUAGGGUGCAAGCGUUACUCGGAAUUACUGGGCGUAAAGCGUGCGCAGGCGGUCUUGCAAGACAGAUGUGAAAUCCCCGGGCUCAACCUGGGAACUGCAUUUGUGACUGCAAGGCUGGAGUACGGUAGAGGGGGAUGGAAUUCCGCGUGUAGCAGUGAAAUGCGUAGAUAUGCGGAGGAACACCGAUGGCGAAGGCAAUCCCCUGGACCUGUACUGACGCUCAUGCACGAAAGCGUGGGGAGCAAACAGG